rnacentral:tRNA from 1 species
GUCCAGGGAUGGGAAUCAAACCCACAGUGUUCUGCUUACUGGGCAGAUGCCAUGUCCACUAGGCUACCCUGGA